UCGCGUCCGAUUAGCCAGUUGGCGGGGUAACGGCCCACCAAAGCGACGAUCGGUAGCCGGACUGAGAGGUUGAACGGCCACAUUGGGACUGAGACACGGCCCAGACUCCUACGGGAGGCAGCAGUGGGGGAUAUUGCACAAUGGGCGAAAGCCUGAUGCAGCGACGCCGCGUGAGGGAAGACGGUCUUCGGAUUGUAAACCUCUGUCUUUGGGGAAGAAAAUGACGGUACCCAAAGAGGAAGCUCCGGCUAACUAC
rnacentral:rRNA from 1 species